CCUACGGGAGGCUGCAGUGAGGAAUAUUGGUCAAUGGACGAAAGUCUGAACCAGCCAAGUAGCGUGAAGGAUGACUGCCCUAUGGGUUGUAAACUUCUUUUAUAUGGGAAUAAAAUGUUCCACGUGUAGGAUUUUGUAUGUACCAUAUGAAUAAGGAUCGGCUAACUCCGUGCCAGCAGCCGCGGUAAUACGGAGGAUCCAAGCGUUAUCCGGAUUUAUUGGGUUUAAAGGGAGCGUAGGUGGAUUGUUAAGUUAGUUGUGAAAGGUUGCGGCUCAACCGUAAAAUUGCAGUUGAAACUGGCAGUCUUGAGUACAGUAGAGGUAGGCGGAAUGCGUGGUGUAGCGGUGAAAUGCUUAGAGAUCAUGAAGAACUCCGAUUGCGAAGGCAGCUUACUGGACUGCAACUGACAUUGAGGCUCGAAAGUGUGGGGAUCAAACAGGAUUAGAUACCCCUGUAGUC
rnacentral:rRNA from 1 species